rnacentral:rRNA from 1 species
UACGGAGGGUGCAAGCGUUAAUCGGAUUUAUUGGGCGUAAAGGGCGCGUAGGCGGGGAAGCAAGUUAGAUGUGAAAUCCCGGGGCUCAACUCCGGACCCGCAUCUAGUACUGCUUUUCUAGAGGUUGGAUGGAGAAAAGGGAAUUCCACGUGUAGCGGUGAAAUGCGUAGAUAUGUGGAAGAACACCGGUGGCGAAGGCGCUUUUCUAAUUCACACCUGACGCUGAAGCGCGAAAGCAAGGGGAGCAAACAGG